CUGGCCUAAGGUGGGGGACAACCACUGGAAACGGUGGCUAAUACCGCAUAAGCCUGAGGGUGAAAGAUUAAUUGCCUAAGGAUGAGCUCGCGUCUGAUUAGCUAGUUGGUAGGGUAAGAGCCUACCAAGGCGACGAUCAGUAACUGGUCUGAGAGGAUGACCAGUCACACUGGGACUGAGACACGGCCCAGACUCCUACGGGAGGCAGCAGUGGGGAAUUUUCCGCAAUGGGCGAAAGCCUGACGGAGCAAUACCGCGUGGGGGAGGAAGGCCCUUGGGUUGUAAACCUCUUUUCUCAGGGAAGAAUACUGACGGUACCUGAGGAAUCAGCCUCGGCUAACUCCGUGCCAGCAGCCGCGGUAAUACGGAGGAGGCAAGCGUUAUCCGGAAUGAUUGGGCGUAAAGCGUCCGCAGGUGGCGGUGCCAGUCUGCUGUCAAAGCUCAGGGCUUAACCCUGAACAGGCAGUGGAAACUGCACAGCUAGAGUGCGGUAGGGGCAGAGGGAAUUCCUGGUGUAGCGGUGAAAUGCGUAGAGAUCAGGAAGAACACCGGUGGCGAAAGCGCUCUGCUAGGCCGCAACUGACACUCAGGGACGAAAGCUAGGGGAGCGAAUGGGAUUAGAUACCCCAGUAGUC
rnacentral:rRNA from 1 species